rnacentral:lncRNA from 1 species
AUUUUGUUCCGUAUGUAGUCAUCAUUUGAAACCUCUAAAAAGACAAAUAUUUAAGAACGGAGGGAGUAUAUAAUAUGCACGCUCGUGCAUAUUCGAGAAAAAAAAUUUGCCACGAACUGCUAGCAAAAAAAAUAUAUCACGAACAGAGAGAUUGUUGCUCCAAGAUUCAUGUUUUUUUCCUGUUGUGUACUGACUUGUUCUGGGCUGAAAAUCUGUCACUAACCUCUGUGUUGGGUGACUCGGUAUCUCAAUGAGCUGAGGCCCGUUAACCGGACGACCAAGCUAGCUCUCUCUAGCCCAUCUGACAACCCAGCCCUCCCCUCCCUCCCUAUGCUUUUUCUGUUUUUUCUAUUCUUAUGCGUUUUUGCUUUUGUUUUUUGUAAUCCAGUAUUUUUUCCUACGGGUAUUUUUGGGAUGUUUCAUGAGUGCAACUGUAUUCAUGCAAGUGCUAUACAAUAAGCGUAUAACUACACAAGAGUGUGAAAGUUGUACUAUUAUAUGUGUAUUACUUGUAUACAAAAGGUGCAAUUUCAGUACAAGGUUGUGCAACUUUUAUAUUUAUAUUUAUAUUUUUAUUUUUAUUCUUCUUAAAGGGUAAUACCACCGUCACUAUUUCAUUCUUGCUUAGAAAACAUCAUUAUUUUGAUUUUGAUAUAGUUUUUUUUUGUUCUUUAAGGGUAAUACCAAUUCCACCAAUUCAUUUUUUUGUAGGAAACUUCCUUUUCGCAAAAGAUCCAUUAUUAUAUGCUUAGCAUUGUAUAUUAUAUAAAAGCAGUAAAUUGUGUGAAAAAAAAUUCACCACGUUUCCUUUUCUUAAACGGUAAUGCCAAUGUGACUAAUUUAUUCUUUCUUAGAAAACUCCAUUAUUUUGAUUUUUUGUUUUAGUUUUAUUUUAUUACUUCUUAAAGGGUAAUACCAUUGCCACUAAUUCAUUCUUACUUAGAUAAUUUAUUAUUUUAAUUUAGUUUUAGUUUCUAUUUCAUUUUCUUCCUUCAAAAGGGUAAUACCAAUGCCACUAACCCAUUCAUUCUUUGGGCACUUAUUUUGUGAAAAUUUCACUAUUAUAUGCUUAUUCUUGCAUAUUAGAAAACAAGCACAAUUUUUGUGUAAAUUUUGUGCGAACUUUGUCGUUACGUUUUUCUCUUAAAGGUGAUAACAAUACCACUAAUUCAUUAUUCCUUAUACAACUUCAUUAUUUUUAUUUAGUUUAGUUUUAGUUUUUAUUUUAUUUUGUUUCUUCUUAAAGGGUAAUAACAGUGCCAUUAAUUCAUUCCUCCCUAGAAACUUCAUUAUUUUGAUUUGGUUUUAGGUUUUAUUUCAUUUUAUUUCUUCUUAAAGGAUAAUGCAAUUGCCACUAAUUCAUUCAUCCCUAGAAAACUUUACUAUUUUGAUUUCUUUUUCUUUCUUAUUUAAGGGUAACACCAUUGCCACUGAUUCGUUCCUUCUUAGGGAACUUUUUUGUGUGAAAAUUACACUAUUAUAUGCUUAUUCUUGCAUAUGUUAUAAAAAGUGCAGUUUUUGUGUAAAAUAUGUGGUGAUUUUGUUACUAUUUGUUUAUUAUUAUUAUCGUUAUUUUCAUUCUUCUUAAAGGAUAAUGCCAGUCUCACACAGACAAGAGUUUAUUCAUUUGUCAAAUUUGAGGGAGGCUGGUAAAAGGGAUGCCCAGUCCUACUUAACUUAAUACAAAAAAAAUCGCCUUGGAAAGUUGAUUGAUUGGAGGGCACAUGUGGAUUCGGCUAACCAUGGCUUGUGUUUCUAUGGUUGUGGGGGUCAAAAUAUUUUUCAUUAUGGGAACUUCCAUUAAUGUGUUUAGCAUGGAAGAUAUUUAAAACUUUGUCGUUAAACCGUUGACAGAAAAAGUACACCUCUCAAAUGAAAUUAUCUCUGUUUGAAGCAAUGAGCUCUCACACAUAAGCAAAUCCCUGCUUCCCUCUGCGAAGGCCUAUCUAUUUAAUUUUCAUGUUGAGUCAACUUCUUAUUCCAACGUCAUUAAUUCUCUACCUGGCAAGCAUCAUGUGGUGGGGAAAGAACCAUGCACAUGUAUCCAUUCAAAUAUAUUUGACCAUGAGUUAUUAUUGUUGACAAUUAUCUCUAUGAUAUGUAAGUUGGGAGGCAAAACAUUAAGCCCUUAUCUUCCUAUGUGUAUUACCGGGCAAUACCGGCUAUUACCGAUAAAUAAUAUAUAGGUAGAAAAUGUUUUCGAAGAUGUUAAAUUAAUAAUAAAAGGCUCUAGUAAUUUCUAGAAGGUUUUUAUAUUUAAUUUAGUAUCAACGUGCCUUAAAAGGCCAAGUAGUGGAAGGAGAAUUGGGCCACCAAGGCCCAUGUAGGGGAGGAUCCCCCUUUCCCCCUUGUGGGAGGCCGAAUUGAACUUGGGGGAGAAAUCCUCCUCCCCCUAGGGCCGGCGCAAGGAGGGAGGAUUCCUCCCCAUUGUGUGGCGCCUCCUCCUCCCCUCCCAACCUAUAUAUACUAGAGGUUUUGGUGCUAUUUGGACAAACAACUUUUGGAGCUCCCUCUAGUCUUCUAGUUCUAGUGGAUCCAAGUUGAUUGAUUAGAGCUUGACCUAGAUCCUCUAAUCCUCAUAAUUAUAAGCCCUAUAUGGUUCUAAUCUCCUCCCUCUAAUUCUCCAACAGCGAUUAGCUCUAGACGGCGAAGCGCUGCCGGAUCAUGAAGACUGUACACUUGCAACCAAGUAGAGAGGCCAUGCUUUCGGUCUUUCGUUCAAGGGAUCAUUCGAGGGCGGUUCGCGGGAUCGUGAUCAACAUUUCGAGGGACUCCAAGUACGAUCUACACCAACUCGUCUACUUCUUCUGCACUCCGGAGUCAGUAACGAUCGUGAUCCAAACCGUUUAUGCAUCUUCAUAUUAUUCCUGGGUGUUUGUAGGGCGUUUUUUUCUUUUCUACCAUGUUUCCCAACAAUAUUGUCUACAAAGCUUAUGACCUCCUCCAUCUCUUGCAAACCAGUUGUGGUGCCUUUAGUAGCAUACUAUUCUACAUGUUUCUUUUGACACAAAGAAAUAAGACGUCCAAUUAUAUAUAGAACAUUUUAGUUUACGAAGAAUAAUAUAGAGGUUACACGAAAUUACUACGUAUGGUUAGGAAAACUUACACAGAUGAACUCUUGGAAGUGUGGGCAAAUGUACCAUGAUGUCAAGCUCAGCUGUUCUGGUAGUAUCCAGGUAGAGAUCCAUCCCAACUUCAAACAUGUACGCUUUGGCGAAUCCUCUCCAACCAGGGCAACCAAAAAAGUUUGAUUUCUUUGUGACAAAAACCCUGAAGUUAAAGCCCUCUGUUUUCUCGAGGUGAGUCUCAACUGUGGUUUCCUCAUCCAUGACAACAUUUACCUUCUGCAAGAGUUCGGGCCUAGCAAAGAAGGGGAUGUGCUGCCAAAAUUAAAGGAAAGCAAAAAAGUUCCAAGGAGGACGCCAAAAUUAAAAAAAACUAGAAAUGAAAGAGAGGAGUGAUCGAGAGGAGGGAGAAAUAAGGGGGAGGGUGUAAGAAGGAGAGGAGGAUGAAGUGAAAGAGGGGAGUAAAAAGUGAAAAGAGAGGAGGAAGAAGGGCGAUAGGGGCAUCAGAUGUGAGAGCAGGUAAAUUGUUGAGCGAAGCCCGUAGUGGUGUGCCCAGCGUGAUGAACGCCACUAAUAAGCCACUUACUUGUGGCGUGCCCGCGCGCAACUUGUAAGUGAGACUUGCAUACGUUAUUAGUGCGGGUGACAUUCUGUAUGCGCCACUAGUAUCGAGCUUACUAGUGGCGUGUGGGCAACUGGUGCACACCACUAAUAAGUGGGGGGGGUCCAAAAGUGGGUCUGCACCAAUUACUACUAGUGUGCGCACCAGAGCCCAACAUCCCUAGUAGUUGCGGUACAAGUUGUGUGCCCGCGACAUCCACGCAAGUAUUGGGUCCCACUUACUAGUGGUGUGCCUUCUGGCCAGCAUGCCACUAGUAAAGAGUUAUUAGUGUCAUGCGCUUAUUUGGGCACGCCACUAAGGUUUCUCUUUUGGGGGAGCCACUAGCAAGGGUUCUUGUAUAAGGGCUUCUGCACUGUGUCUUGCUAGUGCCACUUUUCUUGGCCGGUUUGAGUUCUAAAGUGUCAAGCAUAUCAGUUGCGUGAAGUCAAACCAUUGUUCUGUGACGACAAGUGCCUGACCAUAGGCCACAUGUUUGUUUUGAUACGAGAAUGCAUGACAGUCUCAUUUUUUCGAAAAGGGGGAUCUCCCCGGCCUCUGCAUCAAAGUAAUGCAUACAGCCAUCUUAUUAACGAAAUAAAAGGUUCCAACAAGGUUCCAAAGUCUCCGACUGAAAAGUAAUAAAAAGACAGCUCACACAGAGCUAAAGAGGCUGGACACACAGACUAGCCAAGAUAAGACGCCACAACCGGCUGGCUAAAGAUAGAUAGGUAAACUAAUUGCCUAUCCUAUUACAUGACCGCCAUUCAAACCGGUUGAAGAUAUCCCGAGCUACCAUCUCCCAGCGGAUAGAUCCAGUAACCAAAUGCUCCCUGGCCUCCAUCGGAGUGAGUAGCGACCAUGAACGGAUCACGGCCGUGGCUCGGAAAAUAACCUGCAAAAAGUGAAUACGUGAUGUUCUGUUAAAAACCAAAUCAUUUCUGCAAGUCCAGAUAGUCCACAACAAAGCGCAAACUCCAACACGAAUAUGUCUCGCUAAUUCAGGCUCAAUCCCAGUGAGCCAUGUCCCAAAUAACAUAGUGACAGAAUUCGGUGGAGUAAUAUUAAAAGCAAUGUGAACCGUCCGCCAAAGUACUCUGGCAAACGGGCAAUCAAAAAAGAGAUGUUUGAUCGUCUCGUCCCGAUCACAGAAGCUACACCUCGUAGGUCCUGUCCAAUUACGCUUAAUCAAGUUAUCCUUGGUUAAAAUAACCUGUUUAUGGACAAACCACAUAAACACUUUUAUUUUCAAAGGAACUUUGACAGCCCAAACAUGCUUGGAGGUAGGAAUGGAGCUCGAAUUAAUUACAUCAAUAUACAUUGAUUUAACCGUGAAUACUCCAGACCUAGUCAGUUUCCAGCGUAAUUCAUCGAGUUGUUGAGAAAGAUGGACAUCCAUUAGUCUCCGAACUAGACGGAGCCAAUCUUCCCAACGAUUGCCCACUAACGACCGUCUGAACUGAAUAUUAAGGGGGAUGGAUUGAAACACCAUAGCAAUGAACACCUCACGUCGUUGAACAAUGCGAUAUAAAGACGGAUAUUGAAUGGCCAAGGGUGUCUCGCCGAGCCAAGUAUCCUCCCAGAAGCGUGUACUAGCGUCGUUGCCAAUAACAACCUUUGUCCUAUUAAACAGAGAUUGUUUGACUUUCAUCAGGCCUUUCCAGAAAGGCGAGUCAGUUGGCCUGACUGUGACCUGGGACAAGGAUUUUGUCUGUAGGUACUUGCUGCGAAGGAUUUGGGCCCACAUGGCAUCAGUCUCAAAAGAAAGCUUCCACAGCCACUUGCUAAGAAGGCAUCUGUUCUUAAGUUCAAGAUUCUCAAUACCAAGACCCCCUUGGUCUUUCGGUCUACAGAUGAUAUCCCAUUUUGCAAGUCUGUAUUUUCUUUUUAGAUCAUCACCCUGCCAAAAGAAACGCAAUCGAUAAAAGUCCAGUCUUUUCCUAACACCAACUGGGACUUGAAAGAACGAUAAGAGAAACAUAGGCAUACUCGUGAGCACUGAAUUAAUCAGAAUUAAUCGGCCUCCAUAUGACAUGAGCUUGCCCUUCCAGUAACUCAGUUUCUUCUCAAACCGGUCUUCGAUGCACUUCCAUUCUCUAUUGGUCAGCUUUCGAUGGUGGAUUGGAAUACCUAGGUAAGAGAAAGGUAAAUCCCCCAAGUCGCACCCAAACAAUUGCCUAUAAGCCUCCUGUUCGUCUUUGGCUCUACCAAAGCAGAACAGCUCGCUCUUAUGAAAGUUAAUCUUUAACCCGGUCAAUUGUUCGAAAAGGCAUAACACCAGCUUCAUAUUUCUCGCCUUGGCCAUGUCAUGCUCCAUAAAGAUGACUGUAUCAUCAGUGUACUGAAGGAUGGAUACACCUCCAUCAACCAGAUGAGGUACCAAGCCACCCACUUGACCAUUCUCCUUAGCCCUUCCUAUCAAGAUGGCUAACAUAUCAACCACAAUGUUAAACAGGAUAGGGGACAUCGGAUCUCCUUGUCUUAGGCCUUUAUGUGUCUGGAAGUAAUGACCAAUAUUGUCAUUCACUUUAAUUCCCACACUCCCUUUUUGCGUAAAUGAUUCAACCUGGCGUCGCCAGGCUUCAUCAAAACCUUUCAUACGCAAUGCCUGUUGGAGAAAUGGCCAUUUGACCUUAUCGUACGCUUUCUCGAAAUCCACCUUAAAAAUGACACCAUCUAACUUCUUGGAAUGGAUUUCAUGGAGCAUUUCAUGAAGGACGACCACCCCUUCAAGGAUGUUUCUGUCCGGCAUGAAAGCAGUUUGGGAGUGCUGCACCACAGAAUACGCAAUCUGUGUGAGCCUAUUAGUCCCGACCUUGGUGAAGAUUUUAAAACUAACAUUGAGAAGGCAGAUCGGCCUGAACUGCUCAAUUCUCACAGCAUCCGUCUUCUUAGGAAGCAGUGUGAUAGUUCCAAAAUUCAAGUGACAUAAUUGAAGCUGUCCAGAGAACAGAUCAUGAAACAUAGGUAGGAAAUCCCCCUUAAUAAUAUGCCAGCACUUCUUGUAGAACUCCACCGGAAAUCCAUCCGGUCCGGGAGCCUUAUUAUUUUUCAACUGUGCUAUAGCAUCAAACACCUCCUUCUCCGAAAACGGGGCAACCAGAAUAUCAUUUUCAGCAGCCGAAAGUUGAGGCACAUCCUCAGUUCUGGACUCAUCGAGAGAUACACAAUUAUCCUCCGGAGGUCCAAAUAACUGCCUAUAAUACUCGGUUAUAUAUGUUUUUAGGUUAUCCUGUCCUAAAAUAGUGCCCUCAUCUUGUUCAAGUUGGAAUAUUCUCUUCUUUCUGUGCUUACCAUUAGCAAUCAGAUGAAAGAAUUGAGUAUUCGCGUCCCCUUGGACCACUUUGCGAACCUUAGCCCGCAAAGCCCACUUCAAUUCUUCUUCGCGGAGAAGUUCUUUCAACCUCUUCUCUGCUUCAGUUUUAACCUGGAGCUCAGCAGGCAUCAAAAUCGUGGAUUCGGCCUUAACGUCCAGAUUCUGUAUAAGAGAGAGGAGCCUGUCCUUCUCAAUCUUAUACACCCCACUAAGGUGCUUAGCCCAACCCCGUAAGAAGCUUCUCAAACUCCUAAUCUUAUUUGCCAACGCUCAACCGCGGUCCUACCUCCUACACCCUUCGCCCAUUCCCUAGCGAUCAGGUCUAAGAACCCUUCGCGUUCGAACCAGGCCAUCUCAAAAGAAAAGGUGUUUUUGUUUCCCACGUGGUUCGGCUCCCCUGAGUCAACGAACAAGGGUGUGUGAUCGGAAAAACCCCGUGAAAGAGCUUGAACCGUCACAAGAGGGAACUUCUGUUCCCACUCCACACUCGCAAGAACGCGAUCAAGCUUUUCGUAAGUCGGGUUGGGCAAAGAGUUAGCCCAGGUAAACUUUCUACCAGAAAGCUCUAUCUCCCUCAGAUCCAAGCUUUCAAUAAUAGUAUUGAACAUGAACGACCACCUGCCGUCAAAGUUAUCAUUAUUCUUCUCCUCUCUCCACCUAAUGAUGUUGAAAUCACCCCCAACUAAGAUUGGAAGCUGCUCGGACCCACAAAUCCGAACAAGAUCCGCCAAAAAUUCUGGUUUAAGCUCGGGCUAUGCGGCACCAUAAACCGCCACCAACGCCCAGUUGAAACCAUCAACCUUAGACCUGACUCGAAACUUAACCGCGAAGUCGCCCAUCACUACACUACGGACUUCCAGCGAAUCGCAUCUCACACCCAGCAAGAUACCACCCAAUCUUCCUCGCGGAGGGAGGAAAUGCCAAUCAAAAUCAACACCACCCGCAAGAGAGGAAAGGAACUGGGGUGCAAAGUUGUCUCUACCAGUUUCCGAUAGAGCAAUAAAAUCUAAACGAUGCUCCAGAGAUGCCUCAGCAAGAAACCUUCUUUUAGCCAAGUCUUUCAGACCUCUGCUAUUCCAAAAGAUUCCUUUCAUCACUCAUCAUGAAAUUUUUUAGUAGUCCGAAUCCUAGCACUCCUACGAACUGCAGAAUCGGGGUAAAUUUUCCGUUUCCACUUACGCUUGGGUUUACUAGGUCCUGACUCCCGAUCCUCAUAACCGGGCUCAGCGGAAUAAACAACUGCAUUAUCUAUGGGCAUAUCAUCGUCCUCAGACUCAUGAUUGGAUGGUGCUAGAUCCACACACAUAUUAUCGAGCACUCUAACCCCUAAUGCAUCAAUCUCAUUGUCAUUCAUGGGUUUAACCGCUGCAAGAUUACGAAUAGUUUCUAAGGCACGCUCCGCCUCCAAAUCUAACAAAUCAUUCACCGAAUUGGAAAUCUCACUAUCUGUAGCCCCGAGUGAAACUCCUAAUUGGUUUGCAUUAUUUGUAAUUUCCUCAUUAGAAAAAUGCAAUAAAGAAUUAGAUAUGUUGAUGGACAUACCAGUAUAGAUCGCAGCAUCAUGAAGCUUGGCCGCCCUCAUAGCGCACCUCUGCUGCAUGUCAUCAACCUCCGGAAGCUCCUGAAUGCGAGCACUCAUCCGCCUCCCCGUCGAGGCCGAGUCCGGGAUCCCGCCAAAAGCAACGACCUCCUCCCUAGUAACUCCUCGCGCUGAAACCCGCGAAGGGUCAACCAAGGAUACCGGAGGAGGUGGCUGCGGGCUCCCAUACUGUUGGAAAUAUGCCCUAGAGGCAAUAAUAAAUUGGUUAUUAUUAUAUUUCCUUGUUCAUGAUAAUCGUUUAUUAUCCAUGCUAAAAUUGUAUUGAUAGGAAAAACAGAUACAUGUGUGGAUACAUAGACAACACCAUGUCCCUAGUAAGCCUCUAGUUGACUAGCUCGUUGAUCAAAAGAUGGUUACGGUUUCCUGACCAUGGACAUUGGAUGUCAUUGAUAACGGGAUCACAUCAUUAGGAGAAUGAUGUGAUGGACAAGACCCAAUCCUAAGCCUAGCACAAGAUCGUGUAGUUCGUUUGCUCAGAGCUUUUCUAAUGUCAAGUAUCAUUUACUUAGACCAUGAGAUUGUGCAACUCCUGGAUACCGUAGGAAUGCUUUGGGUGUACCAAACGUCACAACGUAACUGGGUGGCUAUAAAGGUGCACUACAGGUAUCUCCGAAAGUGUCUGUUGGGUUGGCACGAAUCGAGACUGGGAUUUGUCACUCCGUGUAAACGGAGAGGUAUCUCUGGGCCCACUCGGUAGGACAUCAUCAUAAUGUGCAAAAUGUGACCAAGGAGUUGAUCACGGGAUGAUGUGAGUUACGGAACGAGUAAAGAGACUUGCCGGCCAACAUGGGUAUCCAGAUCCCGCUGUUGGUUAUUGACCGGAGAGUCGUCUCGGUCAUGUCUGCGUGUCUCCCGAACCCGUAGGGUCUACACACUUAAGGUUCGGUGACGCUAGGGUUGUAGAGAUAUUAGUAUGCGGUAACCCGAAAGUUGUUCGGAGUCCCGGAUGAGAUCCCGGACGUCACGAGGAGUUCCGGAAUGGUCCGGAGGUAAAGAUUUAUAUAUGCGAAGUCUUAUUUUGGUCGCCGGAAAAGUUUCGCGCAUUAUCGGUAUUGUACCGGGAGUGCCGAAAGGGGUCCGGGGGUCCACCAGCCCCGGGGGGCACAUGGGCUGUAGGGGUGUGCGCCUUGGCCUAUAUGGGCCAAGGGAACCAGCCCCAAGAGGCCCAUGCGCCAAGAGAUAAGAUAAAGGGAGAGUCCUAAAGGGGGAAGGCACCUCCGAGGUGCCUUGGGGAGGAUGGACUCCUCCCUGGCUGCACCCUUCCUUGGAGGAAGGGCCAAGGCUGCGCCCCCCUCUCCCUUGGCCCUAUAUAUAGUGGGGGGAGGGAGGGCAGAAAAACCCAAGCCCUGGCGCCUCCCUCUCCCUCCCGUGACACCUCUUCCUCCCCGCUUGUGCUUGGCGAAGCCCUGCCGGGAUCCCGCUACUUCCACCACCACGCCGUCGUGCUACUGGAUCUCCAUCAACCUCUCCUCCCCCCUUGCUGGAUCAAGAAGGAGGAGACGUCGCUGCUCCGUACGUGUGUUGAACGCGGAGGUGCCGUCCGUUCGGCGCUAGGAUCAUCGGUGAUUUGGAUCACGACGAGUACGACUCCAUCAACCCCGUUCUCUUGAACGCUUCCGCUCGCGAUCUACAAGGGUAUGUAGAUGCACUCCUUCCCUCUCGUUGCUAGUAAACUCCAUAGAUUGAUCUUGGUGAUGCGUAGAAAAUUUUGAAUUUCUGCUACGUUCCCCAACAGUGGUAUCAGAGCUUGGUCUAUGCGUAGUUUCUAUGCACGAGUAGAACACAAAGUAGUUGUGGGCGUCAAUUUUGUCAAUUUACUUUCCGUUACUAGUCUUAUCUUGAUUCGGCGGCAUCGUGGGAUGAAGCGGCCCGGACCGACCUUACACGUACUCUUACGUGAGACAGGUUCCACCGAGUGACAUGCACUACUUGCAUAAGGUGGCUAGCAGGUGUCUGUCUCUCCCACUUUAGUCGGAUCGGAUUCGAUGAAAAGGGUCCUUAUGAAGGGUAAAUAGAAAUUGGCAUAUCACAUUGUGGCUUUUGCGUAGGUAAGAAACGUUCUUGCUAGAAACCCAUAGCAGCCACGUAAAACAUGCAACAACAAUUAGAGGACGUCUAACUUGUUUUUGCAGGGUAUGCUAUGUGAUGUGAUAUGGCCAAAAGGAUGUGAUGAAUGAUAUAUGUGAUGUAUGAGAUUGAUCAUGUUCUUGUAAUAGGAAUCACGACUUGCAUGUCGAUGAGUAUGACAACCGGCAGGAGCCAUAGGAGUUGUCUUAAUUUAUUGUAUAACCUGCGUGUCAAUGAAAACGCCAUGUAAUUACUUUACUUUAUUGCUAACCGUUAGCCAUAGUAGUAGAAGUAAUAGUUGGCGAGAGAACUUCAUGAAGACACAAUGAUGGAGAUCAUGAUGAUGGAGAUCAUGGUGUCAUGCCGGUGACGAAGGUGAUCAUGCCGCGCCUCAAAGAUGGAGAUCAAAGGCGCAAGAUGAUAUUGGCCAUAUCACGUCACCUUAUGAUUUGCAUGUGAUGUUUGUCCUGUUUACAUCUUAUUUGCUUAGAACGACGGUAGCAUAAAUAAGAUGAUCCCUCACUAAAAUUUCAAGAGAAAUGUUCCCCCUAACUGUGCACCGUUGCGAAGGUUCGUUGUUUCGAAACACCACGUGAUGAUCGGGUGUGAUAGAUUCUAACGUUCGAAUACAACGGGUGUUGACGAGCCUAGCAUGUACAGACAUGGCCUCGGAACACAUGCAAAACACUUAGGUUAACUUGACGAGCCUAGCAUGUACAGACAUGGCCUCGGAACACACGAGACCGAAAGGUCGAACAUGAGUCGUAUAGUAGAUACGAUCAACAUGGAGAUGUUCACCGAUGAUGACUAGUCCAUCUCACGUGAUGAUCGGACACGGCCUAGUUUGACUCGGAUCAUGUAUCACUUAGAUGACUAGAGGGAUGUCUAUCUGAGUGGGAGUUCAUUAAAUAAUCAGAUGAACUUAAUUAUCAUGAACAUAGUCAAAAGGUCUUUGCAAAUUAUGUCAUAGCUUACGCUUUAGCUCUACUGUUUAAGAUAUGUUCCUAGAGAAAAUUUAGUUGAAAGUUGAUAGUAGCAAUUAUGCGGACUGGGUCUGUAAACUGAGGAUUGUCCUCAUUGCUGCACAGAAGGCUUAUGUCCUUAAUGCACCGCUCAGUGUGCUAAACCUCAGCGUCGUCUGUAGAUGUUGCGGAACAUCUGACAUACACGUUUUGAUGACUACGUGAUAGUUCAGUGCGUAAUGCUAACGGUUUAGAAUUGUGGCACCAAAGACGUUUUUGAAACGUCGCAGAACAUAUGAGAUGUUCCGAAGACUGAAAUUGGGAUUUCAGACUAGUGCCCACGUCAAGAGGUAUGAGACCUCUGACAAGUUUCUUAAGCCUGCAAACUAAGGGAGAAAAGCUCAAUCGUUGAGCAUGUGCUCAGAUUGCCUGAGUACCACAAUCGCUUGAAUCGAGUGGGAGUUAAUCUUCCAGAUGAGAUAGUGAUGGUUCUCCAUAGUCACUGCCACCAAGCUAUUAGAGCUUCGUGAUGAACUAUAACAUAUCAGGUAUAGAUAUGAUGAUCCUUGAGCAACUCGCGAUGUUUGACACCGCAAAAGUAGAAAUCAAGAAGGAGCAUCAAUUGUUGAUGGUUAGUAAAACCACUAGUUUCUAGAAGGGCAAGGGCAAAAGGGAUACUUCAUGAAACAGCAAAUCAUUUGCUGCUCUAGUGAAGAAUCCCAAGGUUGAACCCAAACCCGAGACUAAGUGCUUCUGUAAUGAGGGGAACGGUCACUGAAGCAGAGCUACCCUAGAUACUUGGUAGAUGAGAAGGCAGGCAAGGUCGACAGAAGUAUAUUGGAUAUACAUUAUAUGAAUGUGUACUUUACUAGUACUCCUAGCAGCACCAGGGUAUUAGAUACCGGUUCGGUUGCUAAGUGUUAGUAACUCGAAAUAAAAGCUGCGGAAUAAACGGAGACUAGCUAAAGGUGAGAUGACGAUAUGUGUUGGAAGUGUUUCCAAGGUUGAUGUGAUCAAGCAUCGCAUGCUCCCUCUACCAUCGAGAUUGGUGUUAAACCUAAAUAAUUGUUAUUUGGUGUUUGCGUUGAGCACAAACAUGAUUGGAUUAUGUUUGUCGCAAUACGGUUAUUCAUUUAAGGAGAAUAAUGGUUACCCUGUUUAUUUGAAUAAUACCUUCAAUGGUCUUGCACCUAAAAUGAAUCUCGAUCGCAGUGAUACACAUGUUCGUGCCAAAAGAUAUAAAAUAGUAAUACCACAUACUUGUGGCACUGCCAUUUGAGUCAUAUUGGUAUAGAACGCAUGAAGAAGCUCCAUGUAGAUGGAUCUUUGGACUCACUCGUUUUUGAAAAGAUUGAGACAUGCGAACCAUGUCUAUUGGUAUGAAGAAACUCCAUGCAGAUGGAUCGUUUGGACUCAAUUGAUUUUGAAUCACUUGAGACAUGAAAAUCAUACCACAUGGGCAAGAUGACUGAAAGGCCUCAUUUUCAGUAAGAUGGAACAAGAGAGAAACUUGUUGGAAGUAAUACAUUUUGAUGUAUGCAGUCCAAUGAGUGCUGAGGCAUGCAGUGGAUAUCGUUAUGUUCUUACUUCACAGAUGAUUUGAGUAGAUGCUGAGUGUAUUUACUUGAUGAAACACAAGUCUGAAUUAUUGAAAGGUUCAAGUAAUUUCAGAGUGAAGUUGAAGAUCGUCGUGACAAGAGGAUAAAAUGUCUAUGAUAUGAUCAUAGAGAUAUCUGAGUUACUAGUUUGGCACACAAUUAAGACAUUGUGGAAAGUGUUUCACAAUUAAUACCGCCUGGAACACCACAGUGUGAUGGUGUGUCCGAACAUCAUAACUGCGCCCUAUUGGAUAUGGUGCAUACCAUGAUGUCUCUUAUCGAAUUGCCACUAUCGUUUAUGGGUUAGGCAUUAGAGACAACCGCAUUCACUUUAAAUAGGGCACCACGCAAUUCCGUUGAGACGACACCGUUUAGAGAAACCUAAGUUGUCGUUUCUUAAAAGUUUGGGGCUGCAACGCUUAUGUGAAAAAGUUUCAGACUGAUAAGCUCGAACCCAAAGCGGAUAAAUGCAUCUUCAUAGAAUACCCAAAACAGUUGGGUAUACCUCCUAUUUCAGAUCUGGAAGCAAAAGUAAUUGCUUCUAGAAAUGGGUUUUUUCUCGAGAAAAAGUUUCUCUCGAAAGAAUUGAGUGGGAGGAUGGUGGAGACUUGAUGAGGUUAUUGAACCAUAACUUCAACUAGUGUGUAGCAGGGCACAAGAAGUUGUUCCUGUGGCACCUACACCAAUUGAAGUGGAAGCUUAUGAUAGUGAUCAUGAAACUUCGGAUCAAGUCACUACCAAACCUCGUAGAACGAUAAGGAUGCGUGCUACUUCAGAGUGGUACGUAAUCCUGUCUUGGAAGUCAUGUUGCUAGACAACAAUGAACCUAUGAGCUAUGGAGAAGAGAUGGUGGGCCCGGAUUCCGACGAAUGGCUCGAGGCCAUAAAAUCCGAGAGAGGAUCCAUGUACUUGAUGGUCGUAAGGCUGUUGGGUGCAGAUGGAUUUUAAAAGGAAGACAGACAAAGAUGGUAAGUGUCACCAUUAAGAAAUCUCGGCUUGUCGUUAAGAUGUUUUCCGACAAGUUCAAGGAGUUGACUACGAUGAGAUUUUCUCACUCAUAGCGAUGCUAAGAAUCCGUUGGAAUUAUAUUAGCAGUUACUGCAUUAUUUAUGAAAUCUUGCAGAUAGGAUGUCAAAACAUUAUUUCCUCGACGAUUUUCUUAAGGAAAGGUUGUAUGUGAUACAACCAGAAGAUUUUGUCAAUCCUGAAAGAUGCUAACAAGUAUGCAAAGCUCCAGCAAUCCUUCUAAGGACUGGAGUAAGCAUCUCGGAGUUGGAAUGUACGCUUUGAUGGAGUGAUCAAAGUUUUUGGGUUUAUACAAAGUUUGUUAGGAACUUGUAUUUACAAUAAAGUGAGUGGGAGCGCUACAACAUUUCUGAUAAGUAUAUGUGAAUGACAUAUUGUUGAUCCGAAAUGAUGUAAAAUUUCUGGAAAGCAUAAAGGGUUGUUUGAAAGGAGUUUUUCAAAGGAAGACCUGGAUAAAGCUGCUUACAUAUUGGGCAUCAAGAUCUAUAGAGAUAGAUCAAGAUGCCUGAUGAUACUUUCAAAGAACGCACACCUUGACAUGAUUUUGAAAGAGUUCAAAAUAGAUCAGCAAAGAAGGAGUUCUUGGCUGUGUUACAAGGUGUAAGUAUUGAGUAAGACUCAAGACCUGACCACAGCAGAAGAGAGAGAAAGGACGAAGGUCGUCCCCUGUGCUUUAGACGUAGGCUCUACAGUAUGCUAUGCUGUGUACCACACAUGAAGUGUGCCUUGCCAUGAGUUGGUCAAGGGGUACAAUAGUGAUCCGGGAAUGGAUCACAUGACAGCGGUCGAACUUAUCCUUAGUAUCUAGUGGACUAAGGAAUUUUCUCGAUUAUGGAGGUGAAAAGGAGUUCGUCGUAAAGGGUUACGUCGAUGCAAACUUUGACACUAAUCCGGAUGACUCUAAGUAGUAAGCCGGAUUCGUAUAGUAGAGCAGUUAUUUCAAAUGGCUCCAAGUAGCGCGUGGUAGCAUCCACAAGAUGACAUAGAUAUUCGUAAAGCACACACGGAUCUGAAAGGUUCAGACCCGUUGACUAAUAACCUCUCUCACAAGCAUAACAUGAUUAAACCAGAACUCAUUGAGUGUUAAUCACAUAGUGAUGUGAACUAGAUUGUUGACUCUAGCCAACUCUUUGGAUGUUGGUCACAUGGUGAUGUGAUCUGUGAGUGUUAAUCACAUGGUGAUGUGAACUAGAUUAUUGACUCUAGUGCAAGUGGGAGACUGUUGGAAAUAUGCCCUAGAGGCAAUAAUAAAUUGGUUAUUAUUAUAUUUCCUUGUUCAUGAUAAUCGUUUAUUAUCCAUGCUAAAAUUGUAUUGAUAGGAAACUCAGAUACAUGUGUGGAUACAUAGACAACACCAUGUCCCUAGUAAGCCUCUAGUUGACUAGCUCGUUGAUCAAAAGAUGGUUACGGUUUCCUGACCAUGGACAUUGGAUGUCGUUGAUAACGGGAUCACAUCAUUAGGAGAAUGAUGUGAUGGACAAGACCCAAUCCUAAGCCUAGCACAAGAUCGUGUAGUUCGUUUGCUCAGAGCUUUUCUAAUGUCAAGUAUCAUUUCCUUAGACCAUGAGAUUGUGCAACUCCUGGAUACCGUAGGAAUGCUUUGGGUGUACCAAAUGUCACAACGUAACUGGGUGGCUAUAAAGGUGCACUACAUGUAUCUCCGAAAGUGUCUGUUGGGUUGGCACGAAUCGAGACUGGGAUUUGUCACUCCGUGUAAACGGAGAGGUAUCUCUGGGCCCACUCGGUAGGACAUCAUCAUAAUGUGCACAAUGUGACCAAGAAGUUGAUCACGGGAUGAUGUGAGUUACGGAACGAGUAAAGAGACUUGCCGGUAACGAGAUUGAACUAGGUAUCGGGAUACCGACGAUCGAAUCUCGAGCAAGUAACAUACCGAUAGACAAAGGGAAUUGUAUACGGGAUUGAUUGAAUCCUCGACAUCGUGGUUCAUCCGAUGAGAUCAUAGAGGAGCAUGUGGGAGCCAACAUGGGUAUCCAGAUCCCGCUGUUGGUCAUUGACCGGAGAGUCGUCUCGGUCAUGUCUGCGUGUCUCCCGAACCCGUAGGGUCUACACACUUAAGGUUCGGUGACGCUAGGGUUGUAGAGAUAUUAGUAUGCGGUAAUCCGAAAGUUGUUCGGAGUCCCGGAUGAGAUCCCGGAUGUCACGAGGAGUUCCGGAAUGGUCCGGAGGUAAAGAUUUAUAUAUGGGAAGUCUUAUUUUGAUCGCCGGAGAAGUUUCGCGCAUUAUCGGUAUUGUACCGGGAGUGCCGAAAGGGGUCCGGGGUCCACCAAGGAGGUCCACCAGCCCCGGGGGGGCACAUGGGCUGUAGGGGUGUGCGCCUUGGCCUAUAUGGGCCAAGGGAACCAGCCCCAAGAGGCCCAUGUGCCAAGAGAUAAGAUAAAGGGAGAGUCCUAAAGGGGGAAGGCACCUCCGAGGUGCCUUGGGGAGGAUGGACUCCUCCCUGGCCGCACCCUUCCUUGGAGGAAGGGCCAAGGCUGCGCCCCCCCUCUCCCUUGGCCCUAUAUAUAGUGGGGGGGAGGGAGGGCAGAAAAACCCAAGCCCUGGCGCCUCCCUCUCCCUCCCGUGACACCUCUUCCUCCCCGCUUGCGCUUGGCGAAGCCCUGCCGGGAUCCCGCUACUUCCACCACCACGCCGUCGUGCUGCUGGAUCUCCAUCAACCUCUCCUCCCCCCUUGCUGGAUCAAGAAGGAGGAGACGUCGCUGCUCCGUACGUGUGUUGAACGCGGAGGUGCCGUCCGUUUGGCGCUAGGAUCAUCGGUGAUUUGGAUCACGACGAGUACGACUCCAUCAACCCCGUUCUCUUGAACGCUUCUGCUCGCGAUCUACAAGGGUAUGUAGAUGCACUCCUCUCUCUCAUUGCUAGAUGACUCCAUAGAUUGAUCUUGGUGAUGCGUAGAAAAUUUUGAAUUAUUGCUACGUUCCCCAACAGUGGUAUCAGAGCUAGGUCUAUGCGUAGUUUCUAUGCACGAGUAGAACACAAAGUAGUUGUGGGCGUCGAUUUUGUCAAUUUACUUGCCCUUACUAGUCUUAUCUUGAUUCGGCGGCAUCGUGGGAUGAAGCGGCCCGGACCGACCUUACACGUACUCUUACGUGAGACAGGUUCCACCGACUGACAUGCACUACUUGCAUAAGGUGGCUAGCAGGUGUCUGUCUCUCCCACUUUAGUCGGAUCGGAUUCGAUGAAAAGGGUCCUUAUGAAGGGUAAAUAGAAAUUGGCAUAUCACAUUGUGGCUUUUGCGUAGGUAAGAAACGUUCUUGCUAGAAUCCCAUAGCAGCCACGUAAAACAUGCAACAACAAUUAGAGGACGUCUAACUUGUUUUUGCAGGGUAUGCUAUGUGAUGUGAUAUGGCCAAAAGGAUGUGAUGAAUGAUAUAUGUGAUGUAUGAGAUUGAUCAUGUUCUUGUAAUAGGAAUCACGACUUGCAUGUCGAUGAGUAUGACAACCGGCAGGAGCCAUAGGAGUUGUCUUAAUUUAUUGUAUAACCUGCGUGUCAAUGAAAACGCCAUGUAAUUACUUUACUUUAUUGCUAACUGUUAGCCAUAGUAGUAGAAGUAAUGGUUGGCGAGACUACUUCAUGAAGACACAAUGAUGGAGAUCAUGGUGUCAUGCCGGUGACGAAGGUGAUCAUGCCGCACCUCGAAGAUGGAGAUCAAAGGCGCAGGAUGAUAUUGGCCAUAUCACGUCACUUUAUGAUUUGCAUGUGAUGUUUAUCAUGUUUACAUCUUAUUUGCUUAGAACGACGGUAGCAUAAAUAAGAUGAUCCCUCACUAAAAUUUCAAGAGACGUGUUCCCCCUAACUGUGCACCGUUGCGAAGGUUCGUUGUUUCGAAGCACCACGUGAUGAUCGGGUGUGAUAGAUUCUAAAGUUCGAAUACAACGGGUGUUGACGAGCCUAGCAUGUACAGACAUGGCCUCGGAACACAUGCAAAACACUUAGGUUGACUUGACGAGCCUAGCAUGUACAGACAUGGCCUCGCAACAUAAGAGAUCGAAAGGUCGAACAUGAGUCGUAUAGUAGAUACGAUCAACAUGGAGAUGUUCACCGAUGAUGACUAGUCCGUCUCACGUGAUGAUCGGACACGGCCUAGUUUGACUCGGAUCAUGUAUCACUUGGAUGACUAGAGGGAUGUCUAUCUGAGUGGGAGUUCAUUAAAUAAUCAGAUGAACUUCAUUAUCAUGAACAUAGUCAAAAGGUCUUUGCAAAUUAUGUCAUAGCUUACGAUUUAGCUCUACUGUUUAAGAUAUGUUCCUAGAGAAAAUUUAGUUGAAAGUUGAUAGUAGCAAUUAUGUGGACUGGGUCCGUGAACUGAGGAUUGUCCUCAUUACUACACAGAAGGCUUAUAUCCUUAAUGCACCGCUCGGUGUGCUGAACCUCAGCGUCGUCUGUAGAUGUUGCGAAACAUCUGACAUACACGUUUUGAUGACUACGUGAUAGUUCAGUGCGUAAUGCUAACGGUUUAGAAUUGUGGCACCAAAGACGGUUUUGAAACGUCGCAGAACAUAUGAUAUGUUCCGAAGACUGAAAUUGUGAAAUUGGGAUUUCAGACUAGUGCCCAUGUCAAGAGGUAUGAGACCUCUGACAAGUUUCUUAAGCCUGCAGACUAAGGGAGAAAAGCUCAAUCGUUGAGCAUGUGCUCAGAUUGUCUGAGUACUACAAUCGCUUGAAUCGAGUGGGAGUUAAUCUUCCAGAUGAGAUAGUGAUGGUUCUCUAUAGUCACUGCCACCAAGCUAUUAGAGCUUCGUGGUGAACUAUAACAUAUCAGGGAUAGACAUGAUGAUCCUUGAGCAACUCGCGAUGUUUGACACCGCGAAAGUAGAAAUCAAGAAGGAGCAUCAAUUGUUGAUGGUUAGUAAAACCACUAGUUUCUAAAAGGGCAAGGGCAAAAGGGAUACUUCAUGAAACAACAAAUCAUUUGCUGCUCUAGUGAAGAAUCCCAAGGUUGAACCCAAACCCGAGACUAAGUGCUUCUGCAAUGAGGGGAACGGUCACUGAAGCAGAACUACCCUAGAUACUUGGUAGAUGAGAAGGCAGGCAAGGUCGACAGAAGUAUAUUGGAUAUACAUUAUAUUAAUGUGUACUUUACUAGUACUCCUAGGAGCACCAGGGUAUUAGAUACCGGUUCGGUUGCUAAGUGUUGGUAACUCGAAAUAAAAGGCUACGGAAUAAACGGAGACUAGCUAAAGGUGAGAUGACGAUAUGUGUUGGAAGUGUUUCCAAGGUUGAUGUGAUCAAGCAUCGCAUGCUCCCUCUACCAUCGAGAUUUGGUGUUUGCGUUGAGCAUGAUUGGAUUAUGUUUAUCACAAUACGGUUAUUCAUUUAAGGAGAAUAAUGGUUACUCCGUUUACUUGAAUAAUACCUUCAAUGGUCUUGCACCUAAAAUGAAUCUCGAUCGCAGUGAUACACAUGUUCGUGCCAAAAGAUAUAAAAUAGUAAUGAUAGUACCACAUACUUGUGGCACUGACAUUUGAGUCAUAUUGGUAUAGAACGCAUGAAGAAGCUCCAUGUAGAUGGAUCUUUGGACUCACUCGUUUUUGAAAAGAUUGAGACAUGCGAACCAUGUCUAUUGGUAUAUAUGCAUGAAGAAACUCCAUGCAGAUGGAUCGUUUGGACUCACUUGAUUUUGAAUCACUUGAGACAUGCAAAUCAUACCACAUGGGCAAGAUGACUGAAAGGCCUCGUUUUCAGUAAGAUGGAACAAGAGAGCAACUUGUUGGAAGUAAUACAUUUGAUGUGUGCAGUCCAAUGAGUGCUGAGGCACGCAGUGGAUAUCGAUAUGUUCUUACUUCAUAGAUGAUUCGAGUAGAUGCUGAGAAUAUUUACUUGAUGAAACACAAGUCUGAAUUAUUGAAAGGUUCAAGUAAUUUCAGAGAGAAGUUGAAGAUCGUCGUAACAAGAGGAUAAAAUGUCUGUGAUAUGAUCAUAGAGAUGAGUAUCUGAGUUACGAGUUUGGCACACAAUUAAGAUAUUGUGGAAAGUGUUUCACAAUUAAUACCGCCUGGAACACCAUAGUGUGAUGGUGUGUCCGAUCAUCAUAACUGCACCCUAUUGGAUAUGGUGCAUACCAUGAUGUCUCUUAUCAAAUUACCACUAUCGUUUAUGGGUUAGGCAUUAGAGACAACCGCAUUCACUUUAAAUAGGGCACCAUGCAAUUCCGUUGAGACGACACCGUUUAGAGAAACCUAAGUUGUCGUUUCUUAAAAGUUUGGGGCUGCGAUGCUUAUGUGAAAAAGUUUCAGGCUCAUAAGCUCGAACCCAAAGCGGAUAAAUGCAUCUUCAUAGAAUACCCAAAACAGUUGGGUAUACCUCCUAUUUCAGAUCUGGAAGCAAAAGUAAUUGCUUCUAUAAACGGGUCCUUUCUCGAGGAAAAGUUUCUUUCGAAAGAAUUGAGUGGGAGGAUGGUGGAGACUUGAUGAGGUUAUUGAACCAUAACUUCAACUAGUGUGUAGCAGGGCACAGGAAGUUGUUCCUGUGGCACCUACACCAAUUGAAGUGGAAGCUUAUGAUAGUGAUCAUGAAACUUCGGAUCAAGUCACUACCAAACCUCGUAGGACGACGAGGAUGCGUACUACUUCAGAGUAAUGCGUAAUCCUGUCUUGGAAGUCAUGUUGUUGGACAACGAUGAACCUAUGAGCUGUGGAGAAGCGAUGGUGGGCCCGGAUUCCGACGAAUGGCUCGAGGCCAUGAAAUCCGAGAUAGAAUCCAUGUAUCAAAACAAAGCAUGGACUUUGGUGAACUUGCCCGAUGAUCGGCAAGCCAUUGAGAUAAAUGGAUCUUUAAGAAGAAGACGGACAUGGACGGUAAUGUUACCGUCUAUGAAGCUCGACUUGUGGCAAAGAGUAUUUUCACAAGUUCAAGGAGUUGACUACGAUGAGAUUUUCUCAUCCGUAGCGAUGCUUAAGUCCGUCGGAAUCAUGUUAGCAUUAGCUGGAAUGUACGCUUUGAUGGAGUGAUCAAAGUUUUUGGGUUUAUACAAAGUUUGUUAGAAACUUGUAUUUACAAUAAAGUGAGUGGGAGCGCUACAACAUUUCUGAUAAGUAUAUGUGAAUGACAUAUUGUUGAUCCGAAAUGAUGUAAAAUUUCUGGAAAGCAUAAAGGGUUGUUUGAAAGGAGUUUUUCAAAGGAAGACCUGGAUAAAGCUGCUUACAUAUUGGGCAUCAAGAUCUAUAGAGAUAGAUCAAGACGCCUGAUGAUACUUUCAAAGAACGCACACCUUGACAUGAUUUUGAAAGAGUUCAAAAUAGAUCAGCAAAGAAGGAGUUCUUGGCUGUGUUACAAGGUGUGAGUAUUGAGUAAGACUCAAGACCUGACCACAGCAGAAGAGAGAAAGGACGAAGGUCGUCCCCCUAUGCUUUAGACGUAGGCUCUACAGUAUGCUAUGCUGUGUACCGCACAUGAAGUGUGCCUUGCCAUGAGUUGGUCAAGGGGUACAAUAGUGAUCCGGGAAUGGAUCACAUGACAGCGGUCGAACUUAUCCUUAGUAUCUAGUGGACUAAGGAAUUUUCUCGAUUAUGGAGGUGAAAAGGAGUUCGUCGUAAAGGGUUAAAUGCAUCUUCAUAGAAUACCCAAAAUAGUUGGGUAUACCUCCUAUUUCAGAUCUGGAAGCAAAAGUAAUUGCUUCUAGAAACGGGUCCUUUCUCGAGAAAAAGUUUCUCUCGAAAGAAUUGAGUGGGAGGAUGGUGGAGACUUGAUGAGGUUAUUGAACCAUAACUUCAACUAGUGUGUAGCAGGGCACAAGAAGUUGUUCCUGUGGCACCUACACCAAUUGAAGUGGAAGCUUAUGAUAGUGAUCAUGAAACUUCGGAUCAAGUCACUACCAAACCUCGUAGAACGAUAAGGAUGCGUGCUACUUCAGAGUGGUACGUAAUCCUGUCUUGGAAGUCAUGUUGCUAGACAACAAUGAACCUAUGAGCUAUGGAGAAGCGAUGGUGGGCCCGGAUUCCGACGAAUGGUUCGAGGCCAUAAAAUUCGAGAGAGGAUCCAUGUACUUGAUGGUCGUAAGGCUGUUGGGUGCAGAUGGAUUUUAAAAGGAAGACAGACAAAGAUGGUAAGUGUCACCAUUAAGAAAGCUCGGCUUGUCGUUAAGAUGUUUUCCGACAAGUUCAAGGAGUUGACUACGAUGAGAUUUUCUCACUCAUAGCGAUGCUAAGAAUCUGUUGGAAUUAUAUUAGCAGUUACUGCAUUAUUUAUGAAAUCUUGCAGAUAGGAUGUCAAAACAUUAUUUCCUCGACGAUUUUCUUGAGGAAAGGUUGUAUGUGAUACAACCAGAAGAUUUUGUCAAUCCUGAAAGAUGCUAACAAGUAUGCAAAGCUCCAGCAAUCCUUCUAAGGACUGGAGUAAGCAUCUCGGAGUUGGAAUGUACGCUUUGAUGGAGUGAUCAAAGUUUUUGGGUUUAUACAAAGUUUGUUAGAAACUUGUAUUUACAAUAAAGUGAGUGGGAGCGCUACAACAUUUCUGAUAAGUAUAUGUGAAUGACAUAUUGUUGAUCCGAAAUGAUGUAAAAUUUCAGGAAAGCAUAAAGGGUUGUUUGAAAGGAGUUUUUCAAAGGAAGACCUGGAUAAAGCUGCUUACAUAUUGGGCAUCAAGAUCUAUAGAGAUAGAUCAAGACGCCUGAUGAUACUUUCAAAGAACGCACACCUUGACAUGAUUUUGAAAGAGUUCAAAAUAGAUCAGCAAAGAAGGAGUUCUUGGCUGUGUUACAAGGUGUAAGUAUUGAGUAAGACUCAAGACCUGACCACAGCAAAAGAGAGAGAAAGGACGAAGGUCGUCCCCUAUGCUUUAGACGUAGGCUCUACAGUAUGCUAUGCUGUGUACCGCACAUGAAGUGUGCCUUGCCAUGAGUUGGUCAAGGGGUACAAUAGUGAUCCGGGAUUGGAUCACAUGACAGCGGUCGAACUUAUCCUUAGUAUCUAGUGGACUAAGGAAUUUUCUCGAUUAUGGAGGUGAAAAGGAGUUCGUCGUAAAGGGUUACGUCGAUGCAAACUUUGACACUAAUCCGGAUGACUCUAAGUAGUAAGCCGGAUUCGUAUAGUAGAGCAGUUAUUUGAAAUGGCUCCAAGUAGCGCGUGGUAGCAUCCACAAGAUGCCAUAGAUAUUCGUAAAGCAUACACGGAUCUGAAAGGUUCAGACCCGUUGACUAAUAACCUCUCUCACAAGCAUAACAUGAUUAAACCAGAACUCAUUGAGUGUUAAUCACAUAGUGAUGUGAACUAGAUUGUUGACUCUAGUAAACUCUUUGGAUGUUGGUCACAUGGUGAUGUGACCUGUGCGUGUUAAUCACAUGGUGAUGUGAACUAGAUUAUUGACUCUAGUGCAAGUGGGAGACUGUUGGAAAUAUGCCCUAGAGGCAAUAAUAAAUUGGUUAUUAUUAUAUUUCCUUGUUCAUGAUAAUCGUUUAUUAUCCAUGCUAAAAUUGUAUUGAUAGGAAACUCAGAUACAUGUGUGGAUACAUAGACAACACCAUGUCCCUAGUAAGCCUCUAGUUGACUAGCUCGUUGAUCAAAAGAUGGUUACGGUUUCCUGACCAUGGACAUUGGAUGUCGUUGAUAACGGGAUCACAUCAUUAGGAGAAUGAUGUGAUGGACAAGACCCAAUCCUAAGCCUAGCACAAGAUCGUGUAGUUCGUUUGCUCAGAGCUUUUCUAAUGUCAAGUAUCAUUUCCUUAGACCAUGAGAUUGUGCAACUCCUGGAUACCGUAGGAAUGCUUUAGGUGUACCAAACGUCACAACGUAACUGGGUGGCUAUAAAGGUGCACUACAGGUAUCUCCGAAAGUGUCUGUUGGGUUGGCACGAAUCGAGACUGGGAUUUGUCACUCCGUGUAAACGGAGAGGUAUCUCUGGGCCCACUCGGUAGGACAUCAUCAUAAUGUGCACAAUAUGACCAAGGAGUUGAUCACAGGAUGAUGUGAGUUACGGAACGAGUAAAGAGACUUGCCGGUAACGAGAUUAAACUAGGUAUCGGGAUACCGACGAUCGAAUCUCGGGCAAGUAACAUACCGAUAGACAAAGGGAAUUGUAUACGGUAUUGAUUGAAUCCUCGACAUCGUGGUUCAUCCGAUGAGAUCAUCGAGGAGCAUGUGGGAGCCAACAUGGGUAUCCAGAUCCCGCUGUUGGUUAUUGACCGGAGAGUCGUCUCGGUCAUGUCUGCGUGUCUCCCGAACCCGUAGGGUCUACACACUUAAAGUUCGGUGACGCUAGGGUUGUAGAGAUAUUAGUAUGCGGUAACCCGAAAGUUGUUCGGAGUCCCGGAUGAGAUCCCGGACGUCACGAGGAGUUCCGGAAUGGUCCGGAGGUAAAAAUUUAUAUAUGGGAAGUCUUAUUUUGGUCGCCGGAAAAGUUUCGCGCAUUAUCGGUAUUGUACCGGGAGUGCCGAAAGGGGUCCGGGGGUCCACCAAGGGGGUCCACCAGCCCCGGGGGGCACAUGGGCUGUAGGGGUGUGCGCCUUGGCCUAUAUGGGCCAAGGGAACCAGCCCCAAGAGGCCCAUGCACCAAGAGAUAAGAUAAAGGGAGAGUCCUAAAGGGGGAAGGCACCUCCGAGGUGCCUUGGGGAGGAUGGACUCCUCCCUGGCUGCACCCUUCCUUGGAGGAAGGGCCAAGGCUGCGACCCCCCCUCUCCCUUGGCCCUAUAUAUAGUGGGGGGAGGGAGGGCAGAAAAACCAAAAGCCCUGGUGCCUCCCUCUCCCUCCCGUGACACAUCUCCCUCCUCCCGCAGCGCUUGGCGAAGCCCUGUUGGAAUCCCGCUACUUCCACCACCACGCCGUCGUGCUGCUGGAUCUCCAUCAACCUCUCCUCCCCCCUUGCUGGAUCAAGAAGGAGGAGACGUUGCUGCUCCAUAUGUGUGUUGAACGCGGAGGUGCCGUCCGUUCGGCGCUAGGAUCAUCGGUGAUUUGGAUCACGACGAGUACGACUCCAUCAACCCCGUUCUCUUGAACGCUUCCGCUCGCGAUCUACAAGGGUGUGUAGAUGCACUCCUUCCCUCUCGUUGCUAGUAAACUCCAUAGAUUAAUCUUGGUGAUGCGUAGAAAAUUUUGAAUUUUGGGGCGCAAAGUUGUCUCUACCAGUUUCCGAUAGAGCAAUAAAAUUUAAACGAUGCUCCAGAGAUGCCUCAGCAAGAAACCUUCUUUUAGCCAAGUCUUUCAGACGUCUGCUAUUCCAAAAGAUUCCUUUCAUCACUCAUCAUGAAAUUUUUUAGUAGUCCGAAUCCUAGCACUCCUACGAACUGCAGAAUCGGGGUAAAUUUUCCGUUUCCACUUACGCUUGGGUUUACUAGGUCCUGACUCCCGAUCCUCAUAACUGGGCUCAGCGGAAUAAACAACUGCAUUAUCUAUGGGCAUAUCAUCGUCCUCAGACUCAUGAUUGGAUGGUGCUAGAUCCACACACAUAUUAUCGAGCACUCUAACCCCUAAUGCAUCAAUCUCAUUGUCAUUCAUGGGUUUAACCGCUGCAAGAUUACGAAUAGUUUCUAAGGCACGCUCCGCCUCCAAAUCUAACAAAUCAUUCACCGAAUUGGAAAUCUCACUAUCUGUAGCCCCGAGUGAAACUCCUAAUUGGUUUGCAUUAUUUAUAAUUUCCUCAUUAGAAAAAUGCAAUAAAGAAUUAGAUAUGUUGACGGACAUACCAAUAUAGAUCGCAGCAUCAUGAAGCUUGGCCGCCCUCAUAGCGCGCCUCUGCUGCAUGUCAUCAACCUCCGGAAGCUCCUGAAUGCGAGCACUCAUCCGCCUCCCCGUCGAGGCCGGGUCCGGGAUCCCACCAAAAGCAACGACCUCCUCCCUAGUAACUCCUCGCGCUGAAACCCGCGAAGGGUCAACCAAGGAUACCGGAGGAGGUGGCUGCGGGCUCCCAUACCCCUCGGACAAGUGCCCCAAGCCGAGACCCAUAGCAACGGGUACGCUGGGAGGAGGCUCGAACCUCCUGACCGCCGACGAGGAAGGAGGAGUCAGGGCCGCCUGCCCCAAACCCCCCUCCCCCAACGCCACAGAAGGCGCGUGCGCCGCCACAGCCGAAGGAGAUGCGGUCCUCCUGACCGCCGGCGAGGAAAGAGGAGUCAGGGCCGCCUGCCCCAAACCCCCCUCCCCCAAUNNNNNNNNNNNNNNNNNNNNNNNNNNNNNNNNNNNNNNNNNNNNNNNNNNNNNNNNNNNNNNNNNNNNNNNNNNNNNNNNNNNNNNNNNNNNNNNNNNNNNNNNNNNNNNNNNNNNNNNNNNNNNNNNNNNNNNNNNNNNNNNNNNNNNNNNNNNNNNNNNNNNNNNNNNNNNNNNNNNNNNNNNNNNNNNNNNNNNNNNNNNNNNNNNNNNNNNNNNNNNNNNNNNNNNNNNNNNNNNNNNNNNNNNNNNNNNNNNNNNNNNNNNNNNNNNNNNNNNNNNNNNNNNNNNNNNNNNNNNNGAACGUCGACCUCCGGUGGAGCAACCACCGACUCCCCGUCCCCGGAGCCAACCAAAGUCCUCACCGACGAUGUCCGCACCAAGCAUCCAGCCAGUGCCCCACCGGCAUCCUCGAACUCCAACAAAGGUAGUGACUGCUCAAAUGCAUCAUCAGAAUCUACCCGGUCACUCCAAAGUCUGGGAGAGGCAGAGGCUGGCUCAAAGGACCCGAACCGCAACGAAGUCAUAGGCACCGAUGGUGAAGGUGCCGGCUCAACCCCGGUCUGAGCCACAGGGCGAGAGCCGUUAGUCCCCUCACGAGUCGACUCGUCAGUCGGUGCCCCCUCAGCUCCCGCACUGUCGUCCCCCUCGUGCAUGUCAACAUCAUUCCCAAUCAUUGCCUCAGCAAACAGGGCGGCGUCCUCAAACUCGAUCUCAAGAGGAAACACCUCUCCUCUAUAAGUCCAGUUAACCACGUCAGGCAUGAACUCAAUAUCCAAAACGCUCACUAGGAUGCGGGCCACUCCAUGUGCACGAGUAAAGGCCAUAUCCACUUUCUCCGUCUUGCCAACCAUAAUGCCCAUACUGGCCACAACUCGAACAUCCUGCAAAGGCUUAGAUGGAGCCCCCGAAAACCUCAACCAGACCUGCGUAAGCGGCUUUCCUUUAGGUUCCACCUGCUGCCACUCAUGGAACUCCAGAAUGCACCUAGUGCCAGGAACUCUGCAUAAACCAAAACUCAACAGUCUCUGCAGAUCGUCCACUGAAGGAAACUCCACCUUAAAAACCUUGGCCUAAAGAGGAACGAGCUCCCAAUGGAAGUCCCCCGGUGCCAGUUCCUGAAGCCUCUGCACAAUCUGAGCCUACGAAACCUCACCCUGAGUAGCUUUGACAACCCCGGUGGUCAAGCUCAAAGUCUCCUCCGGAAUCUCUCUCGCGACCGGGGACUCAAAGAACAUUAGCUCAGCACAAUAAACUCCAUACAUUGUCAAAGACGGAGCCUGGUCACGCAACAACGGGCAAUCCCCCGAGGCAUGUGCCGGCUUACCACAGGACUCACACAACUCUGCCACGCAUUCAACAAUGAAGUGGCCCUUCUCACCACAACGGUAGCAAAGCAUCCUUUCCUUCUUAUGCGCCCACUUGGACGCCCUCUCAGCAUCAGACCUGUCGGUAACCUCAGUCACACUCCCAGUCGCCGGAACCUCAACAUUGGCUAAAGCCGCUACCACCUCCAUCGCCUGGGGAGGGAGCUCUGUGGAAGCGCAAACGGUCUCCACUACUGACUCCGCUUGGUCAACAAUUGCCGAAGGCAGAGGCGGUCUGCGAUGAUACCUCCCGCGGCCACCGCCCCGACCACCACGAUGUCCACGGUGACCCCCUCUCUGGCGGUGAUCCGGACCGGAAGCACCCUCAACAAAACCUCCUGGAGGCCCGAGAAACGGUCUCUCAGCAGACCCGUCACUUUGCCAGGCAUAACCACGCCCCCCUCCCGUGGAUGAGGAACCCCGGUGCUGUCCAUCGCCAUACACAUCUAACCCAUCGUGCCCCCAUUGGCCUCGGGGCGGAGCACGGGAGUCUUAUAGAAAUCUGCCUCGUCUGAGAUGGUCCCGACCGGUUUUGAGCCGGCUGCGCGACGAAGUUAGGCGGAGGCGCGCCAUGAGACUGACCUCUGCUAGUACCGGCUGCACCAGCCGCGCCCAGCGUUGGGGGCCUAGGCCCGCCUCUACCCGCUGCCUGCGGAGCGACGGGCGCCGGAGGCCUGAGCCCGCCCUUUCCUGCCGCCGGUUGCAGGGACGCCCCCGGCGCUAGAGGUCUAGUCCCGCCUCGACCUGCUACCGGCUGAGCAACGGGCGCCGGCGGCCUCCCGCCCGAAGUAGCGUUACCGCGGCCCGGUCCCAGUGGAACCCCUCCGCCAGCCGGCUGCCUCUGGCCUGGCGGCACGAGGGCUCCACGCCCGGCCCCCACCGCCGGAGGCGGCUCCUCCCCGCCCUGCCCUGCUGGAGCGGCCGAGGCGAUUCUCUUCGGUGGCGGCGGCGCAGCCCCACGACCGGCCAUGUGUAAGAGCGGUCUAAUUCUUCUCGCCCGACGAGCACCACACGUGGGGAAUCCCCUAGUCCCUCGCCUGCGAACCCUAACAGCGACAGACGACGGCGCACGACAGGAAGGGGACCGAUCCCUCUCGUACGUGCAUGUGAUUGCAUUGCGGGAUGGAGGAUGGUCCGGUUCAGCAUGGGCCUCAUACCCAUCUGACCUACGCCCAACUCCUCGUGGACUCAACUCCCUCCGAGCCGGCCCAACGGAGCCCAACAAGCUGUUCAAACGCCGCGCUCUCGCCUCCGAGAUCCCCAUCGCCGGCGCUGCCAAGACCGGCGCCGCCGGUGCCUGACAACCGCCGAUCCGCCUCGCAUUCUUCCUCUUCUUAACAGUAAUCCACGACUCCGGCCUAAUCAUGUCGAAAAGCGUAAGAUUCGGAACUCACCUUAGGUAUGGGACCCUUCCAAGGCCGAAUCGCGGAUGCCGCCGUCCUCCGAUGUACUACACGUCGAAUCAUCUCUUUCUUCUCGUCACAAUAAUACUUUUGGAAAUUCAUGGCAGACUGCGCUGGCCAAAGGUGUUUGUUUGGGCUUCAGCUUUGAGAGAAUCAGCUAUGUAUUCACUAUGCUGGCAAAGCUAAUUUGACACAAUCAGCUUUGGCACUGAAGUACACCGGGAUGUGCUUCAGCCCAAAACACCGAAAAUAGCCUGAAUCACAUUUUAGCUGGUUUUUUAAAACUGGUUUGAAAUAGCUGUUUAUUUCAUAUUCAACUUUUUCGAAGCUGAAUCUGGUCCAUAAAGAUGAAACAAACACCGUUUAAGUGUUGUUGAUGGAGCUUAUCAUCAGUUCAAUGAAGCUUGUNNNNNNNNNNNNNNNNNNNNNNNNNNNNNNNNNNNNNNNNNNNNNNNNNNNNNNNNNNNNNNNNNNNNNNNNNNNNNNNNNNNNNNNNNNNNNNNNNNNNNNNNNNNNNNNNNNNNNNNNNNNNNNNNNNNNNNNNNNNNNNNNNNNNNNNNNNNNNNNNNNNNNNNNNNNNNNNNNNNNNNNNNNNNNNNNNNNNNNNNNNNNNNNNNNNNNNNNNNNNNNNNNNNNNNNNNNNNNNNNNNNNNNNNNNNNNNNNNNNNNNNNNNNNNNNNNNNNNNNNNGCAUUUCAUAUCACAAUUUUACAAUAUUUGUAUACUUUGCAUUUUUGCUUUUUUAAUUUGGUUCUGUCACGUGAUUUCAUUGUUUUGAUAGUUUUUUUCUCUUCCUGUUUUUUGUUUGCAAGGCAUUGAGUAAUGUAUCACAAUAUGAAACUGUUUAUAUAUUUGAAGCAGAGAUACGAUUACUAAUUAUGUACUCUUGCAAAUUGACUGUUCAGGAAAACAAAAAAGGUCAUUCUCAUCAUCCUUUUCAUAUGUCACUUCCCAUGGUGAGGGAAAACUGCUAUGAAUGGGAAUUGCUGAUGAACGCAACAUUACCUUUGCAUAUCGCAGUGGUGUGCCGGGAUGGCACGUCCGGGAAUGCUGUGCCGGGCCGGGCCAUGAACAAUGGACAUUUUAUUCGUAGCAACAGAGUAAAUCGUUUCAUAAUCCAAAAUUUGCAAAUUAAACCACAUCACACUUGUAACCCAAAACACGUAUGACAAAUAUUGCAAAUAAAACCUGAACAUCGUACCAUCCGUGCUGAUCUGGUCGAAAAUUAACUAUUCUCUUCGAUCCAUAUUAAUUGUCGUUGAUUUAGUACGAAGUUGUAUGUAGAUCUUCAGCUGUAAAACCCGUAGCACGUGUGACAAAUAUUUCAAAUAAAACCUGAAUAUCUAUUCGCAAAACAAAAACCUGAAUAUCGUAGCAUCAGUGCUGACUGGAUACCUGGUCGAAAAGUCGAAAUUAACAGCUCUUAUUCCUGCAACAAAGCACUGAGAGUUUUGUUUGGAUCAGUGCGGAUUUGGCAUGAUCCAAGAAGGCCACUGCCAGAAUCUACCACACAUGCAGUUCAACAGGUUCCCGUACGAGAGAUCCUGGGUGGUGAGGUCGAGCACGGAGACGGUGUACCUCCCAUAAACGUCCAGCCCGUAGUCGUCGUUCACCAUCUCGUGCGAGCUGGCCACGUUGGCCUCCACGCAGAAGCCGCGGAGAUGGUCCACGAACAGGGCGCGGUUGCCGAUGCCGCCGCCGGCGACCUCCGACCAUCCGGCCGCCAGGCUCCGGUUGUCCGUGCGGAAGACCUUGAAGAGGCCCCCCGAGCCGUAUGGUGCUACUUGGAACAAGAGGUGCGUCCUGACGAUGAGGAGCAGCUCGCCGGAGGACACGACGAGCGUGGACUCGGGUGUGCACCAAGAGUGUCUGGGCGACACCAGAUCUGGUGGCUCGGCUACGGCGGUCACGGCGAAAGUUGCGGCGUCCACGGCCGUGACACUGCGGGCUGGCCCGUCCAGAAGGUAAAACGUACCGUCGUCGUAGGUGAUGCUGCUGACGGCAGCCGUUUGCGAGGAUCCGGCGGCGCUCCAUGACCCGCCGUCGCCCGGCAGCUUGCAGAAGAACGCGCCCUUGCCCGCCGAGAUCAUGACGGCGUCAGGGGACCGAUCCCAUACCAUGUCACGGAGGAUCUUCUCAUAUUCGUCGUGGAAGGAUGGCGGCAGCGCGGGCAGGCUCUCCGACGCGCCGGUGAAUGGUUGCAGCAGCGUGGCCGAGAGGUCGUUGGCCACGCCGAGCGUCCAGCCGCGAGGCGAGGCGAAGAGGAAGGAGCGGCCGCACGCGGCGGGCAUGGGGGUCUCCUUGAUGCUGUCGUCGGCGGGGGACCAGAGACAGCGGUCGACGCGGGAGUAGCUCUGGGAGGGCAGGAGGAGCAGGGGGGUGCGGCGGCGCGCGGCGUGCUCCGCCGAGGCCGAGCGCCAAGAUGGGCACACCGACCGGAAGCGCGCGAGGUCCGCAUGCUCGGUGAUCCUGUCCGCGAUCCCGGCAACGAGCUCGGCUGGCAGGUCGGACCAGCUCAUAGUGUUGCCGCCUGCUACUAGCUUCUUGGAUUGAUGGCGGAUUGGAUUGGAGGGGAUAUGAGAAGAAGGCUUGGUUGACUUGCUGGUACGGAGUGUGACAAAUUUGGAGUAGUUAAGAUCACAUGUCCGUUCUAGAAUAGAUGACCCAACUUUAUACUAACUUUAUAUUAAAGUUUGUGCAAAAUUGAUUCAUCUAUUUUAAAACGGAGGGAGUACUAUUGUAAUCGCUAUGGACUCUAUGUCUAUCUGUUCCAGUUUAAACCUCCCUAAUUUACUUCUACAGCUGUAUCCUAGUGAUUGGCGUCAUCUUCUUGUAAAUCACGGUAGAUGUCUUUCUACCCUCAGUAAAUAAACUCAUGCGACUUCCUAAUGGGUGAGUUUGAAACUUCUUUUUUCAAGAACAAGUAACACAUUGCCUGUCAUUUUCAUCAUUAAGAAGGGAGAGAGUCAUUACAAGCAAUUGGUGAUCAAUAAGAACAGGUCUUGUUACACCAAAUGAAAUGGACCAGAACCACCUCUGCUUAACCCAGCAUCUCCAAUAGCAUAUCUAUAUCUUAAGUCUAUAACAAAAAACCGUCGGUAUGAGUUUUUGCAACAACAAAACUAGCUCCAUCAUAAUAAAAGGUAUCCGUGUAGUGUCUAACUACUGCUCGCGUCUUACAUUAAGUUACAGAGGUAGUAUUAAGUUAGACUAGAGAGGGAGAUAAUUUAGCAACAUUGCAUCUUCAUAAUUUUCCCAACAGAACCUUGUUUUCUCUUCAUCACUACUUCUUACAUUGAAUAGAUUGAUACCAUUGACAUACAUGUGUUACUUUGGAUUUCAUUAGUUUCUUGUGCAAGUUUUUCAUAUAUAUCUAGAGUUACUUUUCAUCUCUACAAGUUCCUAGCCUUCUUUCCUGAAGUGGAGCAUGCUUCAUCCUACCAGUUAACCUAAACGACAAUGAACAUACAAAAGUGCUCCAUGCACGACACAAAUGCCCGAUCUAUGCACGACACAUACAUCCAGCGGCCGGCGCACUUUACAAUCAACGAAUGUUCGGCCAGAUUUAAUCCAUCGUGCGUGCAUCGUCCGACUUCGUCGUGUGCAUAGCAAGACUCAUGAACAUAUCUAGAAAGCCACACCGUAAAGGUUCCAUUAUAAAACCAUAUAAACCAAUUCAACUCCAACACAAUUAAAUCAAAUAAUGUCUUGAUUGAAUGGUCAGUUCAAAGGACCUCGACUAAGGAUGGGUUGUCCAUCAUAUGAUGAAUUGAUGAUGUUUGGCAGAAAACUAGUGGAUUUGUGCUUGAUGGUUUCACUAGAAGUUGGUGAGAUGACACUCUUUCAAGACAACCAUUAGUAAGCUACAAAUAAACGACAUAAAUGAAUGCUGCAAAUUAAGAGAAAAGCCAAAACGAGUAGGAAAUCAAGUUACCAAUGAAAACAAAGAAAAUACAACUUAAAACACCAAUCAAAAGGCACAUGUAUCAAGGACUCACAUGUGUGAUAACAUAAACUAUAUACUACAUAACGUUGACCACAUGUGCAAUAUUGAGGAACACACAAACACCAUUACUUCUGCCGCACACAAAACAAAAACAAAAACAAAAACAAAAAGAGUCAGCAUUACACACUUAGUCCAUCAACCUCUAUAUUCAACAGGCUCAGUUUAAUCAAUAUUGUUGAAAUAUAUGAUUCCUGGCUGACAUCAAUCUAUGCAGGCUUAGAGAUGAGAGGAAAUGUUGAAAUAUAUUGUCCACAAUUCUCUAACAAUUAUAGUUGUGGGUGAACUAGCUAGUGCAAGGACAACAUUUUGUAACACUGGGCUGUGGCACUAGGCCUUAUCAAGGAGAUACAAAAGUUUAAUAACAAAAAAAUGAGCUACUUUUUCUCCAAAUGCAUCAUAGAAAAACCAAAGGAUUUAUGGUGGUUUACCCUAAUUCCUCCCCGGUUCUUAUCACAGUCAAGAAAACAACAUAAAGAGUAUUGCACCAUGAAACAUAUAGUUGGACGACACCCAGUCGCCCACCGACAAAAGUUAACAAACCAUACACUUGGAUGCCUCCAAAGAUGUUCAUAAAUUUACCAAAGACUCCAAUAGGACUCCACUACAAAUCUGACGUCAAAUUUUUUACCAUGGCAAAUCGAAUGAUUUUCAUGACAAAUUAUGUUCUCCGAGGAUGGCAUGUAUAGUUUGCGAGCAUGGCAAAUCCGUUUCAGUUCAUUUUUUUGUCAAAAAAUUGCCGUUCUUACAAACUGAAUUGCCAUCAUCACGCCAAUAUAAAUUGCCAUGAAAAAUGUCAGAUUUGCCAUGCCUAAAAAUCUGACAUCAAAGUUUUAGUGUUCCCGGUCAUCAAUGGUGUCAUUUCUAAAGACAAAGCUCUACCUCAACCUGGAUAACAAUUUUGACAAAUCUAAAAUGAUGGUAGACAUAAUAAAUAUGACAGAGUAAAACAUUAUGACAUCUCAACUAUUAGAGAAUUCGCAACUGUACAAUUAAGACAAGAGAGAACCCAAAAGAAGAAAACAGAAAAUAACAAGUAUACUACCAGCAAGCGUGGUCGCUGCAACUUACGCUAUCUGCCAUCUUCAUAACUCUUUACAUAAUUACAAUGUAAAAGAGAUAUAUAUAAGACAUGCAUGUAACAGGACAUAAUUGUACCCAUUUACUGUAUUCAUAGAUUUAACAGGAGUUGUGACUUACAAUUCAUGUACAUAUGUUGCCAUAAUCUAGGAACCAAUCUUAUCUCAAAAUGGAAGAAGAUAUAUGCCACCAUGUCAUCUAAUUAACAAUUUUCAAAAUUAUAUGUUCUCAACAACACGAAAUAACAUUACCUUUACAGCAAUAUCAUCGAUCUAACAACAAAAUGCAAACAAAGUCUCAUAAGAAAAAAUUGAAAUGCAAACAUAAGGUAUAGUUGAUUUGAUUUCUAUAAGCACCACGACAUUUUUGGAACCUACCCGUUGAACCAGCAUAACAAGAAUCAUUUGCGCAACCACAUAAUGUUCCAAAUUCCAGUUACAAGCUAUAAGGUUUCCACUUUGAAAUAUGAACAUUAUCAUGUGAGACAAUAUCUUCCCAACAAUCCAUACCCCAACAUCUUUCUGCUGCAAACAACCAAAUUACCAAACAUGCACAAAGCAACCAAAUGAACUCAAGAAUCAGUAUCAGCAUGCAGCAAAAGCACAAAUAGACAAUCAAAAUACCCCUUAAUAUUUCAAAUCUUCACAAUCUUAUUACAAACUGGCAUUUCAUGAGUAUAUGCAACAAACUUUGUAUUACAAAAUAAUGAACCAAUAUAACAUGUCGUUGAUUAACCAAUUGAAAUGAAAACAAGGACUCGUAAGAAAAGGUUGAAAUGCAGACAGAGUGAACACCUAACUUUGAUUUCUAUCAGCACCAGGGCCGACAUUUUUGCAUCCUACCAGUUGAAUCAACAUAACAAGAAUUCAACAGCACAGCCACUCAAUGGCCUAUUCCGUUUACAAGCUACAAGGUUUUCACUUAGAAACUCAAAACAUUACCAAGUGAUAGGAACAUCCCCCCAAUGAUCCGCACCCCAAUAGCUUUCCUCCAAAGGCUGCAAAGAAGCUAAACAUGCCCAAAGCAACCAGAUAAACACAAGAAAUCGGUCUUAGCGUGCAGCAAAAGAGAACAAUCAGAAUAGUAGUCCUUGAUAUUUUCACAUCUUCACAAUUUUAUUACAAACAGACAUUCACAGUUUCCCUUCCCCUCCCUCCCUUUCCUUCACCUGCGCACUUAAACGAACAUACAGCGGUGUUAAUCAAGCUACAGAGUACAAGCUGAUUGGCACCUAUGCGGAAGCCACGCAAAACAAGUUCAAACAAGCAGCAAUCGAUCCAUGACAACGAUGGCAUGCAGCAACGACGACCACGACGACGACUGACAACUAGGUGCGUUACGGUUGAACCGAGACAGAGAGACAAACAGAGAGGAGGG